rnacentral:misc_RNA from 1 species
GCCACGUGUCAACACUCACUCUUAUUAUAUUUUUUUUUGUUGGACCCACAGUUCACUCAGUAGCAACCCGGAGCCCAAUUGACUUCUUCAUCCAUCCCCACACAAGCACAACACAACACACAUGGUCAUCGCGAAAGGGCUCGCCGGAGCACUGGAGCCAACAACGCUGGGGCACUCAAAUGUGGCAAAUGACCCUCUGUCCUUAAUAAUUCGACCGUGCUCCCCCCACCCAAAUGGGUCUUCAAAUACUCCGCCACCGAGGCUGGUACGGACACGUCCUUGGAUGUCUGAAUUAUGCAACAGGGUACCUUGACUAGGCCUAGUAUCCCUCUUAGAUCACUAUUAAAUACGGUCCUGGAUACAAAUAAUGUGAUAUCUGGCCUCAUAUUGAAAAGGGUCCGGCUGAAUUCUCUAACCGCCGCCGGCACAUCCGCCCCCACGGCUAGAGGCGCAAAACCAUUGACCCAGGCCUCAUAAUUCGCUUCCAUUGCUACAAAAACAUUCUCAAUAUCAGCUCGCUCGAAUCCUCCAUGGUAAUCUUUGU